GGGGACUAGCUUUUUGCAAUCUUUCCUGGUUCCCUGACAGUCUCAUAGCUGUAGCUGCUUUGUAAAGUACUUGAAAGUAAUCACAUCCCAAGAAACUCUGGUUUGGUAAUUUUCAUGUAUUCUAGUUUUACAGCUGGUAAAUUAGACUAAAUAACUGUACCAAUUAUAUUAAUUUUGUAUCUUGUAAAUCAUUUGGGUGGGAUUCAUAAGCCUCUUGGAAACAGCAGAUGAAACAAAUGUUUGUGACUUGAGUGUAUUUUUGUCACAUGGUCCAAGGAUGUAAGUUUUCUUUCAUUGGAUUCUUUUGUGCUCCAAGCCUUCCCAGUUUGAUACGGAUGAAUGCAGGGACAUAGAAGGAACUUGAAAACUAGUAAGCAGUAACAGAAUACAGCCACUGAGGACUGGGUCCUCUGUAUUCUUCUCAGUUGGUAGCAUCUUCUAGACAACAGCAGAGAUUUUUGGGAAAGACUGAUUUUGUCCCUCAGAGCUGGUAGCAAAACUGAAAUUGUGAGGAAGUGAAACUGGAACUGACUGGGUGGUGAAAUUACUGACCUAAUUAUCUCUGCAGUAGCUUUCCAGUAUACAGAGUAGACAUUGUCAACCAGUACUAAUCUUUGCUGCCAGCUCUAUUUGUGAACUGUCACAGUGCAAUGGCAGGCAAGGCAGCAGUAGCCUUGGGAGGAAUUCUAGUAUUCUGCCUUCUAUAGGCAUUGUAUAACCUUUGUAGCAUCUACAAGUCAUUUGGUUUUGGAACUACCAGCAGCAUCUUUUACUUGUGCUGAUCCAUAUGGUUCCAUUUUAAAUGUGUCUAAACUUCAAUGAAAACAUACAAAAAAUGUGAAUCUUAAGUGGAGAAGUGGUCAGCACUUAGCAUGAUGUUAAAGUGUAAAAAUUAGAGACAACUACACUUCUUCUGUUCUGACAGUCACUUUCUAUGAGAGUGAUUAUUUCAGUGAAUUUAUCCUACUUGCUGCUGAUGUUACAUUUGCUUAUAAGAAACCUCUGCACUAAAAAUAUUCCUUCUUACUUAAUGUAAGUAUUGUACAGUGCAGCUACAUGGAAAGAACUACAUUUUUUGUUUUUUUGUUUUUUAAGCUGUUGAAGGGAAGACCAAUCUUAGGGACUAGUGCAGUGCUCACCUUUUUGGGUCAAUGAUCUUGUAGAGUUUUCCAUUGUGAGUCUGUGUCAUACUUUUACUGCUUGAUAAUAUGUAAAUCUCGCCUGUUAAAGAAAUCAAUACAUUAAUUAGUUCUCAUUUCUUAAGAUGUCAAACACUUGUGAUCUAGCUAUAUGUGCACAAUGAGGUUAAAAAUAUUUUGGAGAAAACACUCAUAGCUGAAAUAUACUACAGAAUCAUUGCUAUCUGAAAAUUUAAACAAUUUAAUCUGUUUUUUCAUAUUGUACCUAAUUGGUAAAAAAUAUAUGAUGGAGGACUUAUGUAUUGAAAACGAGGAUCCAUCUGCUCAAGCAAUACCUCUGCCCAUCUGUAACACUGGAAAUAAAAACAAGCAUAUGACUUGUGUCAGAGUGAGUGACAGAGUUCACAGAAUGUGAGAGAAAAUAAGAACCUUUGACCCUUUCUCUUAACAGCUCUUCUUACACAGCUGGUAAGGUGUGGAUGAAACAGCAGUGUAGACAGCUUUGGCAAAGGGAAGCCAGCCUUCAGAUUUCUUUUUUUUAAACAUUUACUGUGGUUUCAAAUGGUUUAGCUAGUAAUACUUAUAAGACUUAUAAUUUAAAAACAUAUAUUUUUUUUCUAUUUACCUAGUUCAUCUUCACCAAAUCCCAAGACAGGGCCUGAAAAGAAACCUCUACAUGAACCGCUGUUGCCAAGACAGAGGGGUUUCUCUUGCCACUGUUUAGUUGCAGGAUUCUGUUGCAGCGUUAAAAAAUUUCUAUAUUCAAAGACACAGAAAGCAAAUUGUUAUAUUACGUUCUGAGUAUAGAAUUUUCACUGUCCAGAUAAAUAAGUAAACAUUUGCAGAAAGUAGCUCCUUAGGUAGAUCUACGCAGUUCAUCAUCUUAUUUCCUGCCUGUUAUUUUUCAGAUCCUAAAAAGCAUAGAAUUUCCCUUUCUGUCAUUCAAACAUUACAAGAUUAGGUUUUGCUGCAUUAUAUCUAGUCAUUUGUGAAUGCUGACCUACUUGGCAUGGGAAAACUAUACUCUUGCAAUUAAAAAGCGUUUGUUUUGCUCCAUCAGUAUUUCCAUAAAACCCAGAAAGCUUUCCUUAUCUCAUCAGUUAGAUCAGUUUGGCAAACAAUUCCAUGAUUAACACUUAUUUCCAUUAUAAUGUAAAUGAUUAAUGUAAAGUGUGAAGUUAGUGUCUUUGUCUUUACUUUGGUCCAGGGAUUACAAAUGUCACCUAUGUUGCCCUUCAUUAGAAUGUCGUGCUGCUUGAUUCCAAAUGUAGAAUUUAAUGUACAUCAUCACUCUGCUACUUCAACAAAGCGACACAAUAUAAAAAAGUCUGUCAUUGUUCUUUCAUACAGGAAGCUCAUAACAAAAUAUACCUCAUUUUAUGUUUAAGGCUGAAAUUAUAAGAAACUUACCCAUUGCGGUCUCCAAAUACAUAACUUCCGUAGAGCCUUUCAGACUGGCAACCUCGAUAGACAAAUCCACCGACCAACGCUCCACUGCUGAAUGGUUUGAAUUCUAAAAGUGAAGGCUCACUUUCUAAAAAGGAACUACCAUAUUGUUAGAUCAUAUGCAGUUUCAUGUUUUGAUUCACAUUUAUGAGAAGGGUUAUUACUUUCAGAAAGAAAUCAAUUCCCUUUAUAUGAUCCUCAAAAUUCAAGAUGUAUAGCUGGAAAUUAAGCAUUAGGAAAAUCAGAAAAUUGCAAUGAAAGCUGUUUGUGAAACAAUUAAUUAGGAAUUUAGGUAGGAGACACUAUAAUUACCUUCUUCCGUGUGCACAGGCCAAGAGAAUAAAACUAUAUCAGGAUUAGGUCAGGCUUCCAUUUAAGUUAACGUGAUUACUGCUGUUAACUUUUAUGUGUCAAUACAGUCUACAGAAUAGAUCUCUUGAACUUCAGGAAUACAAUUAAAGUCCCUUCACUGAAAAGGGGGCUUAUACUUCACCAGUACCCAAGAGCACAAAUUCCAGUGAUUUUCAGCAGAACUUGUUUUCAAAGCCAUUCAGUGGUUUAAGAAACUUUCAAAUCACAUCUGUGAAUACAUUAUGUGUGUUGUGUGCCAUAAAACACUAAUAUUGCUGGAUGUAGCUUUUUAUGGUAAUUUUUUGUGCUGCUAUUUUAAUUGUAGUUCCUAUGCUUUUUUUUUUUAACAAAGCUACAAUUUAGUCACAUCAAGGAAUAUCUUUGAUAACGUUUCAGUGUAAAUGUGCCUAUGCAUUCAGAUAUUGCUUAGAGUAAAUGUAGGCUCAGAUUGAAAUGCCAACUGCAUAAUUUUUAAUUAAGCCACAGCCAACAGAACCUUUUGUCUCAUAGGAGCUUUGUUUUUAGUUGGCGUGCUCUCUGCAGGUCUUUGAAAAAGGAAUUUCCCAGAUUGUUCUACAAGAGUAAAAGCUGAAAUUCUGUGCUGGAGAAAAGGAUGAUGAGCAUUUUUUAUUUAAGCAGUUGACCCACAGCCUCGUAUUAAAAUUGGCAAGCUGUUCUGGAUAGACACAAUAUUGCUUAGUUUACUCUGCAAUAAAGAUGCAGUCAAAAUUCCAUUGGAGCAGUGGUUUACCAAAUACUGUUCUUUGGUUUGGCUUUCAUAAAACGCACACAGAAAAUACAUGCAGUAACUGAAGUAGAACAAUUGCAUUACACAUUGGGACUAUGAUACUAGUCAGCACAACUGUUUUACUGGGGAUGUGAAUAAAACUUUAAAAAGUUAUGUUCCAGGAAAUAGGUCGGUUCUUGACGCUUUUACACACCUUUGAAAUUUACCACCUUUACCACCAUGAAUUAGGAGCUGCUAAAUGGUCAAACAAGACAGAUGAUAGCUCAGAUUAAGUCUUCUGGCUCGCCUGACCUAGCAAAUGAUCUUGGUAUCAGAGUUAAACAUUAAAGCUGUGAGAGGCAAUCAUACUGAUUCAAGGAGCACAUAAAACACUCUAAAAUUUUAGCUUACUAAUUGAGUGUGUUUAUCCUAUUGCAGUCUGAACUAAUCCUUUAUUAUGAAGUAGUAGCAUAGUGCAUUUCUCUAAGUAAGUUGUUCAUUUUUGGUAACAUUUAAACACAGAGCUCAGUCAUUUCCCUGUUUGGUUUUAGUCUGUUGUUGUCUUUCUCAUUUUUUCCAUUAUAGGAAGCACAUUACACGAGGUUUCCAUUCUGUACCUUACAAGGUUAUUUGUGAAUGACUAAGUAUACAUUUUCACCACCUCGUGAUAUUCUGAAAUCUUUUCCUUAUAAGCUGUCAUUUGCAACUACAAUGAGAUCUUUGAGUGACUGACAACUGGCAUAUUUCUCAAAUCCUAUUUAUAGUCACUUAAUUUUUUUAUUUUUUAUCUUUUAUCUUCUUGUACUUCAGUUAUAUCUUUUAUAGGUUACCUACAAUGCAGUCAAUGCAGUAAGUUACCUAUCAUGGCUUUACCAUCCUUUAUCUUUUGUUUUCUGCUUUCCUUUUAUUAUUCCACAGUCACAGGAGCCUCCUGUUUCCAUUAGCUUUACCCUGGAUGGAACCUCCCACUUCGGUUAGCUUUACCCUGGAUGGAACUUACCAUAGUCUUUACCCUUUAUUAUCUGUAAGAUUCUUGCUGAAGAUCUGUUCUUUCCAUUUGAAUCUGAGCAAAGUAUUGUUAAAUUGAUGUUUACAUCUGCUGGGUGGUGAUCCACAGCACAUCGGCCUGGAUUGUGGAGUCCGUGUGCAAAAAUUUCAGGAGGUUGGUUUGUGCUAUUAAAAUGUGGGUUGCUCCGUGGUAUGGAAUAAGGGACACUGCACAGGUCAGUAUUUACAUCGAGGCGUAAUACAGAACCUGUAAAAUCACUUAAACCAUCCAUUUCUUCCAUAUCGUCGAGGGUAAUCAUGCCAUCUCCAAGGAAAACGUAUAAGAAGCCAUCUGGGCCAAACAGAAGCUGCCCUCCUAGAUGUUUUCGAUGUAGUUCUGCUACUUCUAAAAACACUCUGGCUGUUCUUAUAUCAACUUGUUGUGGAUUUUUCCUGCAAUGCAAAGAUAUGAAAACAGUUUUCACAGCUCACUAUCAUUGGCUUUCAUUCUAAAAAUAAAUGUGAGUCAUUCAAAUCAUACUUUAAGAUGAGGAUGUUGUAACUGGGUAUAAAAAUGUCAAACAAUAAUUUCUGAGAAAUUGCAAUUUUCCAGCAUUCUCAAAAAAUUAUUUUGCUUCCCAUACACAAGUAGGAAAUAAAUAUAAUUUGAAAAUAACAGAACAAAUAGGAAGAAAGAGUCUUAAAACAAAUAAAUCAGUAUACUGACUGGUGUUCCAAAACUACUGUUUGAAAUAAAUAUCAGCAAUAAAUAUUCUGCAACUGCCCAAGUAUAUGCUUUGUAAAUCUGGUGGUUCAUUUUAGAAGCAGGCUAUACUAAAAUGAGGAAGGUUGCUGGUAAAUACAUAAUUUGUGAAUUUUAGACUUCUACUGAUACCUGGAUACUGUGUAUUCUACCACCCUAAGGAUGUGAUCAUGAGGUCCAAUAGCCCACCGUUCUUGGUUGGUGGUAUAAGACACAUACAGCUUUCCAUUUUUCUUGUAAUUGGGAUGGAAUGCAAGGCUUAACAGUCCUCUUUCAUCUCCUCCCUGCAGUCAAAUGAAAAACACAAAGAAUUGUGAAGUUAAUUAUGUUCUUUAUUGUGUUGCAGCUGGAACCAAAAAAAAAGUUUCUUUCUUGUGGAUAAUCUUUGCCCAAACUCUUUUAUUUCUUUCCUGACUACUGCACAAAAAGGAUUAUAAAACAUUUCACUUUGGGGAACUCUUUAAGUUAGAACAAGACAAUUGUCUCAUGUAGUUAUCUAUGCACAAGUCUCUUGCACCAUUUUUGUGGAGUGAUUUGUGUAUGUAAUCUUUGGGAAGCCAUGAAGACAAUUUUAAGUGCUGUGAAGGAUUCUUUGCUGGGUUACUAGGUUGCUUGUAAUUCGUAGAGGACAAAUAAAAAGGUCUAUAAUCAGCAGUCGGUUCUAAUCCAAGUAUCCAAAACCUAAAACACAGUGCUUGCUGCCAGCUCCCACUGUCUUGGCAAUAUGUUUAGAAAACAGUUAAAUUGCUUGUGUAAUAUGUAAACCUUUGUUUUACCCUGGAGGCAGCAACAUCAGUUGUCACAACUAUGGUGGUCUGUUCAUCAUAGCUAGUAUACUGUAGGUAAUAAGCAGCCUUGGUCUCCGUACAGAGAAACCAUAGUUUUUACAUGUGGUCCUUCGAUGGAAAGGUUUUUGUUAUUUUUUUAAAUAAAAAGAGAAAAAAUCUCCAAACAACUUUCUUUUGUUAUUACGUUUACCACGAAGAUUAGUACAGCUAUAUGUUAAACAUCAAAUCCAUGUAAUGUACUGUGACAAUGCACAAACAGUAUGUAUUUAAAUAGAAGGCAAUUUUCUCCUCUGGCUUCUAAAAAAGUAUGUAAUGUUACUAUGACUAAAAUUUUAGUUGUAUAAAUUAAGAAUAAAACUUUAACUUCAUUUGUUUCUCCAGAGGUAGUUCUGAGAAGUAAAGCUGAUGUGUAGAAAUAAACAGAAUAUUUAAUUAGCAGUUCAAAUUCAGUUCAGCGAUGUGGUUAUUCACAAGCUGAUAGUUGUUUUGGAAUUUAACUCCGGGUCUGUCAGCCUUUCAAAACCAAUGGUUCUGUUGUAGAUUCAAGCACUCUGGCUGUACUCGUAAGCAGACAACGUUUUGCAACUCUACCACAUCCAUGAUAAGUAAUUUUAAACUAGAACAGAGAAUGAAGCUUUUUAAAUGUAUCUGCAGUUCCAAGUGAUGGAUGAGCCUGUCUUCCUAAUGAAAGAUGUUUCACAAAAGCCCUAAUUGGGAAAGUGCACAGUUUAACUUAUUUUAAUUUGAUACAAUUGCCAUCCUUCCUCUUUAAUCACAACAACCAAAGAGAAACCUGAUUCAGAAAUGGAGAUGUAAAUAGGUCGAGUUAUUUCCAUACAAAAAGAUUUGUGCAGUGAAAUCUGAAUCCUCCUAAGUUAGAGACAGACAAAAUUUGCUAAUUUGUUUGCUUGAAAAAAUUUAGAUUUGGGGGUUAUCUGACAGGUCAGAUUUGAUAGUCUUGUUACAGCCUAUCAGUUGCUGUCACUGUGGAUGAAGGGACUGGUAAUCUAGUUCCUUCUCCUUUGCAAGCCAAAAAUAAUUCUGCAGCUGAGUCUGAACUGAUUGUAGAUGUUAUUGUAUGAGUUUCUAAGAGUUUUGACCAAACUGCUCUGAUGAAGUCUGAAGUAAAUAGAGGCAAAUCAGUUGCUUUGGGAACAGUAAGGCAUAUUGCAAAGAUUCCUAAUGGAUGAAUCUAUCUGUUGUGCCCAGACAAAGACAGUCCUAUUUCAUCUCCUGAGACUUGAGUGCAACUCAUUUAAGGGCCCAGGAAUGUCAAUGAGUCACACUAGGCCUGCCAUUCAAGGUGAGUUAUUAGAAGUAAUAGUUAGAGAAGAUCAUUCUGUUACUAUGCUGCAGAUUUUAUUUAGCACUCAAUGUCACGGGAGCAGUCUCAGCAUGAAAGUGAAGUUGUUGAAAGAACAAACAGGUGAAAGUUGAAUUAAGAGCUUUUAAUGAAGUACCCAUGAAGUAAGAACUGGACAAAUGAAUGAAACACAGGACCUCUGAGGUAUGGCAAGUUGCAUUCAUAGGAUCAGGCCAGUAUUUCUAGUAAUUGCAGUUUUGCAUUAUCUACUAGUCUGCAAUAUAUUACUUACUUUGUAUCUGCAAUGCACCUAUUGCUUCCUGAAAAAUCAUGCUGCUUUCUGUUUUUCAAAGUAACCAAAUCCCACCGUACUCUAAAAAGUCAAUUUGCUCUUGCAUUUAAUCAAAAUGUUGGAAAGAUUCUGAAAUCAGUGCAGCAUCAAUCCAUUAGAUGACACAGUCAGUUAGAAAUCUAGCUGAGUUCUUCCAUACUUAUUUUUUCUGGGUUUGGAAAACCAUUGUUCAUGUGUAUUUUCAGCUUUAUCACUGGAAAUAAUAGGUUUGCCUAUCAUUUCCAAUUUCAUCACUGCCACAGUUUCCAUAGCUUUUGAAAUUAUUUCUGUUGUGCAAGAAAGUAGUAUCAUUUUCUGUAGUAUUAUACAUCUUACAUUUUGGAUAAAUUGAGAGAUGUGCAGUAAAAUCCCUUCAGUAUUCAUUUUGGUACUGUCAAACCGAGUAAUUAUUUACCAAAUUUCAGAUUUUCCCUUACAGAGUUAUUCUCAUUUCUGCUUUUCAUCAGUGAACUUUGGAUGUCUCCUGUGAAACCUGCAACCACAGGCUUUGUUCUUUGGCUUUUUUAGGGUUGGAUACUGCACAUCAAAUUUCUAUAUCUUUCUCUUGGCAUCUUAACUUCUUGACAUUUUCUUCUUUUCAAGUUGCCCCUUAGAUGAAGCCAGCACCAUUGAGCUGUGUAUGAAAUAUUAGCGUAUAUUGUUCUGCACUACACUGUUUGAGGGAAUAAUGUUUAAGAGUUCCCAGUUGUGUAAGGAAGGUGAGAAGAAUGAAAGAAACCUUCUUAUUCCAUUGGGCUAUCUGUUCAGGACAAAGAAUGAUGAUUGGCUGAACUGAGGAUUAAUUAUCUAAACAUGCUGUGGACUAGGGCCGAUGUUCAAUCUCUAUCGUAACUAAACCUGGAAGCUCACACUUCUGAUGUCCACCCAUGUAGCUCUUUAGCUUGUACACUCUACAACUCAUGGUAAUUGCACAUUUUGCAUAAAUGGUAUGUUUCUUUCAGCACUGAUUUUCCUUAAGGCCAGAUUUUAAACUUCAUCUAAAGAGUUAUGUGAAAUAAAAAGCUUACCUUUAAAAACCAGUUUGAUCGAAUUUAGGACUGCAAUUAUUUUAGUCAGAAUUACAUUAUCAUAAAUCAGCACAAAGCUGGGUAAAGAUUAAUUGCAUAUAUUUCACUUUAAAUCUUUCUUUUCAUUUUCAAACAGUUGCUUAGAUACAUUAUGUUAGCUCUAAAAGAAUAUUUUACUAGGAAGCAGUGAUAUUAUGUACCAGUGUUGUAUUAUAAGUUGUUAUACAUAGAUCACUCCGAAAGUAAUGCUGCCUGUUUAUUUCUGUGGAAACUACAACAGAUACAAGGAACACAGCAACACGGUUUGACACAGCAAAUCUGCAGCGGCAAAACACUAUUUUUCAGCAUAGCCACUACCAUGAGCUAUGCAUUUUUGCCACCAGUGAACAAGGGCCUGCGUGCUGCACUUGUAAACAUCUGCACCAGUGGAACUGACCCACUGUCACUGUCACCACUGCUGAAGUGCACCACUCACUGCCUCACUGUGCUCAUGGCCACUGUUUGGUCUCCAGAAAUGUUCAGCAAGUAUCAACGAUGUCAGUGGGUGCCAUUUCCUCCACAUGGAGGAAUUCAGUGACACAUCUUUGUUACGUACCCACUUCCAUGUCAGACACCAUUUUAUCAGACUGCUCCUCUGCUGCCAUCUGUCACAAAGCAACAGCACAGAACGGAAUAUUGGCGGGACGGGUCAACCUCUGCUGCUGUACCACCAACAUCCAUCUCUG
rnacentral:lncRNA from 1 species